rnacentral:ribozyme from 13 species
CUUUCCCUCCCUCUUUCUUUUACUUGUUCCUUCUCUAUUUCUCUCUCCUCAAAUGAACGAUUUGGAGAAGGAAGGGAGAGAGAGGGCAAAGAGACAGUUUCGAACUCAUUGAAUGAGAAUUUGAA